CAAUUGCGCUCAACUUUUCCUUCGAAACUUUUCGCUAAAAAAUUUCACUUCCCUCCACACUGCUAUCCCGUCUUCUCUACUUAGGGUUUAGAUCAGUUUUCUCUCGUCCUCCAUAGAUACCAAAAGCUUGAACUCGAAGCGCGAGAUUCUGGGCUAGGGUGUGAAUAAUUUGCGCAAUUUGUCAUCCCUUCUCUCCUUCCCCCAAAUUGAGGAGUAAGAUGGGAAGCUCCAACACCGGGGAAAAAGACGAUUCCGGCGCUAACGCUGGUGGUAGCGACUCCUCUAAGGCGGUGUUCCAGAUCCUAAGCCCGGCCUUUACACAAAAGGCGAGAAGGUCCUCGCUUAUCACGGUCCUCGCAUCUACGAAGCCAAGGAUGAUGACACUUCGGCAUGGGGGUCAUGAAAUGCAAAUCUUAGGUAGCAACGCAUAAGGACGAUAACUCUUUAUUUGGCAAACGGUGGAGUUGGACUUAUUUUGGGAAGCACACGACGUUAUCGACUUAUACUAUAUUAGUUGUUUUAUUGUUACGUUGUAGUAGUUAAUUAGUUAUUUAUCUUGUCAUCUGCAAAUUAUUAGACAACAUUUUGUUAAGUUGUUAAGAUUAUUAGACAACUAGAUUUAAGCCCGUGCGAUGCACGGUUUUUUUUAAAUAUGAUUUGUUAAUCGUUCUUAGAACUAUACUCACUUACUAUUGUGAUCAAGAAUUACGUUAAUCAUUUAUUUUAUUUUAUUUUAAUUGUGA